rnacentral:rRNA from 1 species
GGGUGAGUAACACGUGAGUAACCUGCCCUUGACUUUGGGAUAACUUCAGGAAACUGGGGCUAAUACCGGAUAGGAGCUCCUGCUGCAUGGUGGGAGUUGGAAAGUUUCGGCGGUUGGGGAUGGACUCGCGGCUUAUCAGCUUGUUGGUGGGGUAGUGGCUUACCAAGGCUUUGACGGGUAGCCGGCCUGAGAGGGUGACCGGCCACAUUGGGACUGAGAUACGGCCCAG